GGAAGAUUGGCUGCCUAAUAAACACCAUGUUAUCAUUAUAUAAUAAAUAUAUUUUUUUUUAAAGUGAAAGUCUCAUAAUUUAAAGUAGGUUUUUUUUAUUAAAUAAAAAUAAUAUCUAAAUUUCUUGUUACGGGUGUUAAAUUUAGGACGUUUUCGAUGAAAAUUAAAAAAUUAAAAAUUAAAUAUUAAGGUUAAAUAUUAACUUAGACUUUAAUAUUUAACCUGUCAAUAAGGGUUAAAAGUUAAUAACUUGUGACCUACUACAAGACACCCCAUUAGAUCUACUAAGUAGAGAGAUAAUUGAGCUAAACUAUUGGUGCCUUGAAAUACAUCAGUUUUUUUAUUUUUUACAUUAUAAAGAUAAUUUACAAUUUUUAAGAGAGAAUAAUAUUUUUAUAUCCUCUAAGAGUAUUUUAUAAUCUUUUAUGGCAUUUUAAUUGUA
rnacentral:misc_RNA from 1 species